rnacentral:rRNA from 1 species
AGAGUUUGAUCCUGGCUCAGGAUGAACGCUGGCGGCGUGCUUAACACAUGCAAGUCGAACGGUGAAGCCAAGCUUGCUUGGUGGAUCAGUGGCGAACGGGUGAGUAACACGUGAGCAACCUGCCCUGGACUCUGGGAUAAGCGCUGGAAACGGUGUCUAAUACUGGAUAUGAGCCUCUAUCGCAUGGUGGGGGUUGGAAAGAUUUUUCGGUCUGGGAUGGGCUCGCGGCCUAUCAGCUUGUUGGUGAGGUAAUGGCUCACCAAGGCGUCGACGGGUAGCCGGCCUGAGAGGGUGACCGGCCACACUGGGACUGAGACACGGCCCAGACUCCUACGGGAGGCAGCAGUGGGGAAUAUUGCACAAUGGGCGGAAGCCUGAUGCAGCAACGCCGCGUGAGGAAUGACGGCCUUCGGGUUGUAAACCUCUUUUAGCAGGGAAGAAGCGAAAGUGACGGUACCUGCAGAAAAAGCGCCGGCUAACUACGUG